GACUAGUGGCGGACGGGUGAGUAACGCGUGGGUAACCUGCCUCAGUACAGGGGGAUAACAGUUGGAACGACUGCUAAGACCGCAUAACCCGCUAGUGUCGCAUGACACGGACGGAAAAUAUUUAUAGGUAUGAGAUGGGCCCGCGUCUGAUUAGCUAGUUGGUAAGGUAACGGCUUACCAAGGCGACGAUCAGUAGCCGACUUUGAGAGAGUGAUCGGCCACAUUGGGACUGAGACACGGCCCAAACUCCUACGGGAGGCAGCAGUGGGGAAUAUUGGACAAUGGGGGAAACCCUGAUCCAGCGAACCGCCGCGUGAGUGAAGAAGUAUUUCGGUAUGUAAAGCUCUAUCAGCAGGGAAGAUAAUGACAGUACCUGACUAAGAAGCCCCGGCUAACUACGUGCCAGCCGCUGC
rnacentral:rRNA from 1 species